UACGUAGGGGGCAAGCGUUGUCCGGAUUUACUGGGCGUAAAGCGUGCGUAGGCGGUUUGUUAAGUCUGUCGUGAAAGCCCCGGGCUCAACCUGGGAAUGGCGAUGGAAACUGGCGAGCUAGAGUACGGUAGAGGAGAGUGGAAUUCCCGGUGUAGCAGUGAAAUGCGUAGAGAUCGGGAGGAACAUCAGUUGCGAAGGCGGCUCUCUGGACCAGUACUGACGCUGAGGCACGAAAGCGUGGGGAGCAAACAGG
rnacentral:rRNA from 1 species